CUCCAUCCAUUAGGUCUUUCAUUGAAGCCAUUAAAUUUCUGCCAAAUUCCAGGAAGACCUGGAAUAUGACAGUUUAUUAGAGAGUACCCUGGAAAAAAUAGCCAUGAAAGUGAAAAAAAGGAAGCAAGCUUGGACAGAAGAAAAAACUGGACUGAAAUACAAUCUCAGAUAUUCACUGAGUGGUUUUUCACUAAUUGUCAUGCUGAAUUUUGAAUUCACUGACUUAUGUAAUGCUCACUAAGACAUUAUAAAUACAGUUUACCAUUUUAAUGAUAAGAAAACUGAGACAUAGAGAAUGUAAUAUCCAACCUGGCUGGUUGUGGAACCAGCAUUUGAAGUGGGGUGAGACUUAUACCAAAGACUGCAGAUCUUAACUAUUCUGAUAUUCUGAGCAGUGGCAAGCAGAGAGAAGGGAGAGGGAAGUGAUAAAAUUUGAGGAAAAUAAAUCCCACACUCCCUUUCAAAAUUGUGAGUGGAGAAUAGGAGGGAAUGUUUGAGAGCAGUCCAGAAACAUCAUUUAAAAGCAGGUAACUAUAAGGCAGAAAGAAAAAUGGCAACAUCAGAGCAUAAUACGAAGAUUCAUGGGAAAUGGGAGCAGAGGAGAAGGAGACCCAGCCUUCUGGGGAAGACAGUGUAGGAUUAGAGAGGAGGCUGUAUUUCAGCUGAGACUGAGGAGGGGAGGGUGAUGGAAAAAGAAGAAUUCCAAGAACAUGGAGCCAAGGGCUGUGGAAAACAACUGAC
rnacentral:lncRNA from 10 species